rnacentral:tRNA from 2 species
GAACCGGUAGCUCAGUUGGUAGAGCAACAGACUUUUAAUCUGUGGGUCCAGGGUUCGAAUCCCUGCCGGUUCA